rnacentral:rRNA from 1 species
GGAGCCAGAAAGUGGCGAACGGGUGAGUAACACGUAAGUUACCUGUCUUUAAGCGGGGAAUAGCCCCGGGAAACCGGGGGUAAUACCGCAUGUGGUAAUGGAAUUAUAUCUGUUACUAAAGCCGUAAGGCGCUUGAUGAGGGGCUUGCGUCCUAUCAGGUAGUUGGUGGGGUAACGGCCCACCAAGCCAACGACGGGUAGCUGGUCUGAGAGGACGACCAGCCACACUGGGACUGAGACACGGCCCAGACUCCUACGGGAGGCAGCAGCAGGGAAUAUUGGGCAAUGGGCGAAAGCCUGACCCAGCGACACCGUGUGAGGGAUGAAGGCCUUCGGGUUGUAAACCUCUUUUCCCGGGGAAGAGAAAAAGGACAGUACUCGGGGAAUAAGUCUCGGCUAACUACGUGCCAGCAGCAGCGGUAAUACGUAGGAGGCAAGCGUUAUCCGGAAUUAUUGGGCGUAAAGAGGAUGUAGGCGGCACAACAAGUCGGAUGUGAAAUCUCCCGGCUUAACUGGGAGGGGUCAUCCGAAACUGUUGAGCUUGAGGGCAGCAGAGGAAAGCGGAAUUCCCGGUGUAGUGGUGAAAUGCGUAGAUAUCGGGAGGAACACCAGUGGCGAAAGCGGCUUUCUGGACUGUACCUGACGCUGAGAUCCGAAAGCGUGGGGAGCAAACAGGAUUAGAUACCCUGGUAGUCCACGCUGUAAACUAUGGAUACUGGGUAUGGGGAGUAUCGACCCUCUCCGUGCCGAAGUAAACGCGUUAAGUAUCCCGCCUGGGGAGUACGGUCGCAAGACUAAAACUCAAAGGAAUUGACGGGGGCCUGCACAAGCAGCGGAGCGUGUGGUUUAAUUCGAUUCAACACGAAGAACCUUACCAGGGUUUGACAUACUGGAAGUAGGAACCCGAAAGGGAGACGACCUGUUAAGUCAGGAGCCAGAACAGGUGCUGCAUGGCUGUCGUCAGCUCGUGCCGUGAGGUGUUGGGUUAAGUCCUCUAACGAGCGCAACCCUUGUUGCUAGUUAAUAUCUCUAGCGAGACUGCCCUGCAAAACGGGGAGGAAGGUGGGGAUGACGUCAAGUCAGCACGGCCCUUAUACCCUGGGCGACACACACGCUACAAUGGACAGUACAGUAGGUGGCAAUGGGGUGACCCGGAGCUAAUCCUAAAAACUGUCCUCAGUCCGGAUUGUAGGCUGCAACUCGCCUACAUGAAGCCGGAGUUGCUAGUAACCGCGUAUCAGCAUGGCGCGGUGAAUACGUUCCCAGGCCUUGUACACACCGCCCGUCACGUCAUGAAAGUCGGCAACACCUGAAGUCGAUGGGCUAACCCUUUUAGGGAGGCAGUCGCCGAGGGUGGGGUUGAUAAUUGGGACGAAGUCGUAACAAGGUA